UACGGGGGGGGUAAGCGUUGUUCGGAAUUACUGGGCGUAAAGGGCUCGUAGGCGGCCAACUAAGUCAUACGUGAAAUCCCUCAGCUUAACUGGGGAACUGCGUCUGAAACUGGUUGGCUUGAGUGCAGGAGAGGAAUGCGGAAUUCCAGGCGUAGCGGUGAAAUGCGUAGAUAUCUGGAGGAACACCGGUGGCGAAGGCGGCAUUCUGGACUGUAACUGACACUGAGGAACGAAAGCCAGGGGAGCAAACGGG
rnacentral:rRNA from 1 species